rnacentral:rRNA from 1 species
GACGAACGCUGGCGGCGUGCUUAACACAUGCAAGUCGAACGAUGAAGAAAAGAAUUGAAGCUUCGGCAGAAAUUCAUUUCGGAUCAGUGGCAGACGGGUGAGUAACGCGUGAGCAACCUACCUCUUACAAAGGGAUAGCCUCGGGAAACCGGGAUUAAUACCAUAUAACAUUGCGACGAAGCAUUUCGAUGCAAUCAAAGCUACGGCGGUAAGAGAUGGGCUCGCGUCAGAUUAACCAGAUGGUGAGGUAACGGCUCACCAUAGUAACGAUGGGUAACCGGCCGGAGAGGCGGAACGGUCACACUGGAACUGAGACACGGUCCAGACUCCGACGGGAGGCAGCAGUGGGGAAUAUUGCACAAGGGAGGGAACUCUGAUGCAGCGACGCCGCGGGAGUGAUGAAGGAAGUCGUAUCGUAAAACUCUGUGCUAUGGGAAGAAAAGGACUGUACCAUAGGAGAAAGCUCCGGCUAAAUACGUG